UUGUGCUGGGUGGAGAAGCAGGGCACGUGAACGGCCAUCUGAUGUAGCAUAGCUUCAAUUGAUUGUCCAUGGCGGAUGGCCGUUCAUGUGUCCGUCUUCCCCACCGAGCACUG
rnacentral:pre_miRNA from 1 species